AACUAACGCUAGCGGCGUGCCUAACACAUGCAAGUCGUACGAGAAAGUUCCCUUCGGGGGAUGAGUACAGUGGCGCACGGGUGAGUAACGCGUGGAUAAUCUGCCCUUCGGACAGGAAUAACCCACCGAAAGGUGGGCUAAUACCGGAUAAUACUGACGCGCUUCGGCGCAUCAGUCAAAGAUGGCCUCUCCAUGGAAGCUGUCGCCGAAGGAUGAGUCCGCGUACCAUUAGCUUGUUGGUAGGGUAAUGGCCUACCAAGGCGACGAUGGUUAGCUGGUCUGAGAGGACGACCAGCCACACUGGAACUGAGACACGGUCCAGACUCCUACGGGAGGCAGCAGUGAGGAAUCUUGCGCAAUGGGGGAAACCCUGACGCAGCAACGCCGCGUGAGUGAGGAAGGUCUUCGGAUCGUAAAGCUCUGUCAGAUGGGAAGAAUGCCAUGGUGUUAACAGCAGCGUGGCUUGACGGUACCAUCAGAGGAAGCACCGGCAAACUCCGUGCCAGCAGCCGCGGUAAUACGGGGGGUGCAAGCGUUGUUCGGAAUCAUUGGGCGUAAAGCGCGUGUAGGCGGCCGGAUAUGUCAGAUGUGAAAGUCCCGGGCUCAACCCGGGAAGUGCAUUUGAAACUGUUCGGCUAGAGUAAGGGAGAGGAAAGUGGAAUUCCUGGUGUAGAGGUGAAAUUCGCAGAUAUCAGGAGGAACACCGGUGGCGAAGGCGGCUUUCUGGCCCUCUACUGACGCUGAGACGCGAAAGCGUGGGGAGCAAACA
rnacentral:rRNA from 1 species